CAGCAAAAAAAAAAGAAAAAAGAAAACAGAUUUGGUUUUUUUUAUGUUUUCUUGUCCUGGUAAUCAUCCCAUGACUUUUCAGAUUUAUCUUGUGGGGAUCACAGGAAAGAAACUCCUAACUGUAUAUACAAAAGAUAAAACUAGUGCCACCCUGACCAACCUCUCAAAAUGUAUUCUUUUACUUUUUAUAACUGUUGUGGAGGAGUCUGGGAGGAAAGCCAUAUUUAGGUUUUUUAAAUGUUGAUAACAUACUAGAGCGUAGUACCUUCAGUAGUACCGUCAAAUGUAGGAUCAGUGUAAUGAGUGAACACACACCAUCUAUGUGAUUUGCAAAAAUAUAUAUUGUACCAUGUGAUAGCAUCAUUUGUGCCCCCAAAUUAAUACACUAAUAAAAAAGCUACUUUCUUUAAAUCUCAACAGAUAAUGCUUGCAUAGUAUUUUUGCAGAUAAACACGACAAACAAAUUAUUGUGGCCUUGGCCUCAAAUGGAGUCAAAGCAUGGUUCUUAUUUGCUGUACAUUCCAAAGUGGUAUAUUCAAAAGAAAUUUAUUUUUAAUGUUGUGUAUGGCAAUCAGUGCAACACCUCUGCAACAGACUCUGGAACAUGCAAAGUUAGAUGUUUGACAGCGACCACAUGUGACAAAUCUAUCUAUGAUGAAAGCUACUGCCAAAAGACAGCACAGGACAAGUACAUCAUCAGCAUAACAGAAACAGAAGAAAGCUGUACCAACUGUGAUAAUCCAGUGAAAACACCUGAGAAAAUUCCAGUGAAUGUAUCAAUUAACGUUGAAGGAGGAAAAAUCGAUCCAGUGGGAGCUGUUAACAUGAUGAAUAAAAUGGCUGCACUUGCCUCCUCCAUCAAUGAGUUAUCAGCUGAGCUGUCUGUGGGUGAAGGGAUUACAGGUGUCCUAGUGAAACAACCUGACCCUGUGGUUGUAGAAGAAGUUUCCUUUGCUUAUAUGACUGCAAAUGACAGCCUAAGUGUGGGUGCAUUACUUUUAUUCGUUUAUGGCAAUAGAAGUGAACUGAAUAACAUUCUCAUUACAAACGUCAGAAUAACAAUCUGCAUUUGGACAUGGUGAGAGUCUCGGUCACCAGCAUGAAGUCAGACAGGGUGAACUUCACUUAGUGUAAAGUAUACAGACUUUUGAAUAGCAAUAGCCAGUAUUCACUCUGCAGUUUAAGAUUUAUGUUCAAAAUAUAUGAUUACUGCGCAUGAUGAAUACUUUAAAUGUUAAGUACACUACUGAACGGAAAAAUGAGUGCUUCUGCUUAGGUUUUAUUAUAUGAUGAGUAAUUUCAGUGUCACUGCAGAUUUUUCUACUUUUCUUAUAUCAUGCACACCGUACAAUAUAUUUGUGCUCUUUUUUGCAGAUCAUAGCAGACAGAGAUAAACUGGAUACGUUUUCAAGGUCAGUGACAGUGACUAAAGAAGCUUUUGAAAAAGCAGUCAGUUCGAACAUCAGUGUACCAUUUGCAGCUGUUUUCCGAUUCAUCAAUAUGGCUAAGGUAAGAAAGAAAAUACUUUCUGUGAUGGAUGCUCCUUACAUAUUCACUAUAAAUCUGUUAAACCUUU
ensembl:lncRNA